rnacentral:rRNA from 1 species
UACGAAGGGUGCAAGCGUUACUCGGAAUUACUGGGCGUAAAGCGUGCGUAGGUGGUUUGUUAAGUCUGAUGUGAAAGCCCCGGGCUCAACCUGGGAAUUGCAUCCGAUACUGAUUGGCUAGAGUAUGAGAGAGGGAGGUAGAAUUCCACGUGUAGCGGUGAAAUGCGUAGAUAUGUGGAGGAAUACCGGUGGCGAAGGCGGCCUCCUGGCUUAAUACUGACGCUGAGGUGCGAAAGCGUGGGGAUCAAACAGG